AUAGUUGAAUGUUGAGUCACUUUACUCAAGAGAUUGCCUAAAUAUAAGUAAGUACAUAUCACUUGAACUAAAGAGAUAGUUUCAUUAACCAAGAUGGUUCAAGGACAAGCAUGUGAGGCAAUAGAAAGAUUCAUCAAGAUCAAAUCAAUUUCUUAUUUUCAAAAUCAAUUUAGCUUAGAUUCUAUUUGCUUAAGAUAAUU
rnacentral:lncRNA from 1 species